UCACCCUCGGGCCGCGAGGGCAGCCUCGCCCGUGCGUGCGGACUGCAGUCCCCGGGCGUUGUGCGGGACGCGCCCUCCCGUACUUGCCUUCCUCGGUGUGCCGGGCGCCCCGCGGGGUUCAUUGUUCCCGGGAAGGGGCGGCUGAGAAAGGAGCAAUGGGAACAGUGCAGGACAGCGGUUUUUAACCCUUUUCAUCUCAUGGCACACACAAACUGAUGACUGAAAUUCUGCAGCACACCAACAAAUCUAUUUUCGGCUGACAAAAAGAAGUAGGAAUAAUUUUGGUUCAUUCGCCGCAGACCCGAGGACGCGUUGACUGACGGGAGAGGGAGGGGGAGGGAAGCUGCCUCAGUUGCCUCCGGCGCCCAGACGAGGUGCCCGGGACCUAGGCCGGUGCCCUGACCCGGAAGCGGACCCGCGGCCGUUUGUGCCUGAGCCGCCUGAUUUGACAAUAAGGGAAAGAGGUCAGCGCCCUGGCGGAUCAGGCUGCAAGGGACAGCGCUGGACAGUACAGACCUGCCUAACAUGCCAGCGCAGCCAACGGUUCCUCAAUGAUCCUGCACAUGUUCUCUGGGGAGACCUGCCUGAGGCCCAGCUAGGGAGCCAAUCAGAUCCAAAACCACCGCAGCCCCUGCCCAGCACAGCCCGCCCCACCCCGCCCCACCCCACUGAGGAGAAAGUGCAGCCCCAGAGCUGUCGUCACCAGUGAUGGAGUCACCGUCUUCCCGAUAAAUAAAGUUUAAUUCUGUUUCACUUUGGUGAGUCAGUAACGGAGAGGGAUAGAGUUGGAAACAUCAAUUAGCUGCCUCCUGCACACCUCCUACUGGGAAUGUGCCCGAAACCAAGUCAAACCUCGGUUCUCCAAGGUCUCCCAUCUCAAACAGUUCGGGUUCGACCAAGUUGUUCACAGAAAAAUGUCUCAGGUGUUGAACAAAACUUCAGUUCUCAACUCAACAGCCCUUUCAUGCUGAUCCCUGUAUGAUCAGUCAUGCAUCUCUCAGGUGACAAAGGAGAGAAUGAGCAAGUAUGAGUCAGUUUACCGCUAAACCUCAUGCUGUUAACAUCUCGGGAAAUUGUGCUCUGAAUGUUUUUGUGUUUUGCCUUUUUGCUGCUAAUUAUUAAAUGCGUACAGUAAGUCAUCAUGGGUCCUAAGAAAGUUAGUGAUACCAAAGUGAAAAGGAAAGUUGUGAGAACAACGAUAGAGCUUAAAAAAGAAAUAAUUGCAAAUUAUGAUAAAGGUGUUCGUGUGUCUGAUCUGGCUACCAAGUAUGGCAUGGCAAAAUCGACAAUUAGCACAAUUUUAAAACAUAAAGAGGCCAUCAAGAAAGCUGAUGUUGCUAAGGGUGUGACAGUGCUCACAAAACAACGAUCACAGGCCAUUGAAGAGGUAGAAAAAUUGUUGUUGAUUUGGAUAAAUGAGAAACAGUUAGCCGGUGAUAGCAUUUCAGAGGCAAUGAUAUGUGAAAAAGCAAAGAUGCUGCAUACUGACCUCCUGAAAGACAGCCCUGAAAUGAGUGCUCAAAAUGGUUCGUUUAAGGCUAGUAGGGGGUGGUUCGAUAAAUUUAAGAAAAGAAGUGGUAUUCAUGUAGUGAGGCAUGGGGAGUCUGACAGUACUAACAAAGUAGCUGCUGAUAAUUUUGUGACAGAAUUUCAAGAAUUCAUCGAGGCUGAGGGAUUUGUUCCCCAACAAGUGUUCAAUUGUGAUGAGACAGGGCUCUUCUGGAAGAAAAUGCCAAAGAGGACCUACAUCACACAGGAGGAGAAGUCAUUGCCAGGACAAAAGCCAGUGAAGGACCGGCUGACGUUACUAUUGUGUGGCAAUGCGAGUGGGGACUUCAAAUUGAAGCCUCUACUCGUCUACCAUUCUGAAAACGUACGAGUUUUCGGGAAAAAUAAUGUCAUGAAAAACAAGUGGAAUGUGAUGUGGAGGGCUAACAGCAAAGCGUGGGUAACCAGGCAAUUUUUUAUUGAGUGGAUUCAUGAAGUGUUUGCCCCAAGUGUGAAGAAAUACCUCUGGGAAAAACAGUUGCCACUCAGGGCACUUCUUGUCAUGGACAAGGCUCCUGCCCACCCUCCAGGCUUGGAGGCCGAGCUGAUGGAGGAGCACAGCUUCAUCACUGUGAGGUUCUUGCCACCUAACAUAACUCCGCUCAUCCAGCCCAUGGACCAGCAGGUCAUUUCUAACUUUAAGAAACUCUACACCAAAGCACUGUUCCAGAGGUGUUUUGAGGUGACCUCUGAAACUAAUUUAACCCUCCGGGAGUUCUGGAAGGAACAUUUUAAUAUCCUCACUUGCUUGAGGCUCAUAGAUGAAGCGUGGGGGGGAGUGUGUUCCAGGACCCUGCAGUCGGCCUGGAAGAAACUGUGGCCCGAGUCUGUUGCCGACAGAGCCUGUGAGGGCUGUGAGGACAAGCCUGUGUCUGUUGUGGAGGACAUUGUGUCUCUGGGCAAGUCCAUGGGCUUGGAGGUGGAUGAUGAUGAUGUGGAGGAGUUGGUGGAGGACCACAACACUGAGCUGACCACUGAGGAGCUCCAAGACCUUCAGAAGGAGCAGCAACAGCCAGCAGCUGAGGAGCACUCUUCAGAGGAGGGAAGGGAGGAUAUUCCUACUUCACUUAUCAAGGGAAUGCUUGGGAAAUGGGGAGAAAUGCAAAGUUUCAUUGAGAAAUAUCACCCUGACAAAGAAGUAGCACACCGAGCAAUAAACUUGUUCAAUGACAAUGCAGUGUUUCACUUCAGGCAAAUGUUAAAACGCAGGCAAAAACAAUCAUUGGGUAGGUUUUUAGUGAGACAGAGGCCUAGUGAGCCUGAAGCAAGUUCUAGUGGAGCAAAGAGACGAAAGAGAAAGAACCCCAGAAGAAUAGCUCCCUGACGUGUUUAUGGAAGGGAACUCCUCUUCCAACAACAACACCCUCCUCCAUAUUCAGUCAUCAGUAGCUCUCAGCAUUCAAGCCAGCCCUACCACUGCUGCUCAUGGGGCACCAGUAACUCAUCUUGGCUGGUCUGUUACAGGAAUACAUUUAAUUUUGAGAGAGUCUUGAAGAUGCGAUUGAACUUUCCAGAGCCUUAUGACCCUCAGAUACCUGAUGCCCUGCAGGGCUGAAAGCUCAGACAGCAGCCAGUGACCCCAUCAAGGUUCAGGCAUAUGCUUUGUAAAGACCUGCAUUUCUUUUAUUUUUACAGUUUUGCCAAUUUUAUUAAACCAAUAAAAUUCCUACUAAUAACAAUGAAAUAAAUUUUUGCAAGUAAAAUGUUUAACAAAACCUAUUGUUCUGUGCCUAUAAAUUUUCAAAAUGUCAUAAAAAGUGCAGCUAUGAAUUGUUAACAUGUUAAUACACAGUUCCUUUAUUUCAAA